UGCGCACAGUACACAGAAGGCCUUGCAAAUACCGGGUGCAGCUAAGAGCGAUUCUCUACUUUUUUAAAUAAACAGCGACUGAGGGACGAUUCCUGUGAAAUCCGGACACCGUUACCCGCAAUCCCUGGACUGUCCUGCUCAAUCUCCUCUCUCUCAGCCCCACGAUCCGUACACGGGCCCCGGGGAGCUUCCGGCUGAUGAGGGAAUGGGAACCGAUGGAUCUCUCAGACAGAGCUGAGCUCCAGCUAUCUAAAUGCAAGGAUUAGGAACUCGGAGAAAGGGAACAAAAUCUUUUACAUCAGCAGUUGAGAAGAUCACCUUUGUUCUUUCCUCAAUCACAAACAAGAGAACAUCUGCAGAUGCUGGAAAUCCAAGCAACACAAAUUGCUGGAUGAACUUUUCCACAGAUGCUGCCAGACCUGCUGAGUUCCUCCAGCAUUUUGUGUGUGUUCUUGUUCUGGACUUUUCUACCGGUGAGAAUAUGUUUUGUCCCAUUCUCUUUGGGUACAUAAUGAUAUCAAACACCUUUGUCCUGGGCAACAAGUAACUUUCACAUCACAAAUGUGCCGGACUCCAAUGAGACAGACUACUGCCCUUCACUUCAUAUUCAUUGGCAUUGCCAUCACUACGUGCGGACCAACCAUUCAUCUCAGCAGGAAUUUUUUAUAUGGUGUUAAAACUGUGGCAUGUUAAGUUAAUAAUACAUAAAAGAAAAUCCCAGUUGCACGUCAAGAAAGACUAUUUGUGUGAGACUGUUUCAGUUACUGUGGGGCCAGGCACCCAUGCAGCUCAGCAGGAGGAGGGAAUAAUACCAAUGGAGAGAGUCAAACUGAGCGAGGGUUCAAAUUGGAGAUGGCCAAAAGCUCCAUUCUUAUAGAGACAGGAAGAGCAUCAGAGAAUUGAUGGUCAUUCCAGAUACCAGCACUCUGCCCAGUCAGGAGAUGAUAUCUCUGUCCAGCUUGUUUUGAACCUCACUGUCACAGUGUGAUACCAGAUCAAACCUUGGCAACUCAAGUAAUCUCAUCUGAAAUGUUGUCCUACACCCAUUGAUGGAUUUUGCAAAUCU